rnacentral:rRNA from 1 species
UACAGAGGGUGCGAGCGUUAAUCGGAAUUACUGGGCGUAAAGCGCACGUAGGUGGCGACGUAAGUCGGGUGUGAAAGCCCCGGGCUCAACCUGGGAAUUGCAUUCGAGACUGCAUUGCUGGAGUACGGAAGGGGAGGGCGGAAUUCCCGGUGUAGCGGUGAAAUGCGUAGAUAUCGGGAGGAACAUCAGUGGCGAAGGCGGCCCUCUGGUCCAGUACUGACACUCAAGUGCGAAAGCGUGGGGAGCAAACAGG